GAAUGAAGUGAUCGAGAAUAAAGCAGAUAACUCUUCUGAAGAUAAGAAUGAAGCGGUCGAGGAUGAAGUAGUUAACUCUUCUGAAGAUAAGAAUGAAGCGGUUGAGAAUAAAGCAGUUGAUAAGGAUGAAGUGAUUGAGAAUAAAGCAGAUAACUCUUCUGAAGAUAAGAAUGAAGCAGUCGAGGAUGAAGUAGUUAACUCUUCUGAAGAUAAGAAUGAAGAGGUUGAGAAUGAAGCAAUUGAGAAGAAUGAAGUGAUCGAGAAUAAAGCAGAUAACUCUUCUGAAGAUAAGAAUGAAGCAGUCGAGGAUGAAGUAGUUAACUCUUCUGAAGAUAAGAAUGAAGCCGUUGAGAAUGAAGCAAUUGAGAAGAAUGAAGUGAUCGAGAAUAAAGCAGAUAACUCUUCUGAAGAUAAGAAUGAAGCAGUCGAGGAUGAAGUCGUUAACUC
rnacentral:lncRNA from 1 species